AAAAACGAAAAAAGAAAAAAAAUUAAUUAAUUAAAUAAAUAAAUAAAAUAAAUAAAUAAAAUAUAAAAAUUAUUUUGGACUUGGGUCUCCCUCAUUUGAGCCCACUACCCACGAAAAUCAGUCUAUAAAUACUGAAGUUUCAGUAGAGGAAAAGACACUUGGAGUUACAUUGGGAGAUUCACUGGAAAAAGAUAGUGAGAGAAAGAAGACAGAACAAAGGGGGAUUUUGAGGAGAAACAAAACACUCUGAGG
rnacentral:lncRNA from 1 species